rnacentral:rRNA from 1 species
AUUAGCUAGUUGGUGGGGUAGAGGCCUACCAAGGCGAUGAUGCGUAGCCGGACUGAGAGGUCGAACGGCCACAUUGGGACUGAGACACGGCCCAAACUCCUACGGGAGGCAGCAGUAGGGAAUUUUCGGCAAUGGGGGAAACCCUGACCGAGCAACGCCGCGUGAAUGAAGAAGUAUUUCGGUAUGUAAAGUUCUUUUAUUGAGGAAGAAUGGGUUGGGUAGGAAAUGACCUAACCGUGACGGUACUCAGUGAAUAAGCCCCGGCUAACUAUGUGCCAGCAGCCGCGGUAAUACAUAGGGGGCAAGCGUUAUCCGGAAUUAUUGGGCGUAAAGGGUGCGUAGGCGGUCUGUUAAGUCUAAGGUGUAAGUUCAAGGCUCAACCUUGUGAUGCUUUAGAAACUGGCGGACUAGAGAUAGAUAGAGGCAAGUGGAAUUCCAUGUGUAGCGGUAAAAUGCGUAAAUAUAUGGAGGAACACCAGUGGCGAAGGCGGCUUGCUGGGUCUAUACUGACGCUGAGGCACGAAAGCGUGGGGAGCAAACAGGAUUAGAUACCCUGGUAGUCCACGCCGUAAAC